AGAUGCUCCUUAAACAGGGCGAGCCCUGCGCUCCGGGGAGGUGGUGGCGUGACCUCUGACCCCGUGGGACCGGCCAGGGCCCUGAAGGAGCAGCGAGCGAGGUCUCGGCGGUGUCAGGCCGAGGGGCUCGCCCGCCCGCACGGGAGGCCCUGACGCCGAGACCCGCCGAGACCCGCCGAGACCGUGGAAGGUUCGAGGCUCCCCCCGCCGCUGGACGCAGGACCACGCGACCCGUGCCUCCCAGUUCCGCAGGUUCAAAAUCGUGGAGAAGUAUCCUGAUUCCUAGAGAUUCAUGGGGACCAACAGAUGGAGUCCAGGAAGUAGGGUUUAUACAAACUGUUGCUAGAAGCCUAGAUGAGUGCGGGCCCUCCUGUCAGAAGAAGAGAACAACGUGCCUAAAACUAGGAAAUGGGAGCUAGUUCCAGGGAGAUGGAGCCGUGGUCAUCUCCAGAGUGUGGCAAGCAUCGCACGGUGCUGUAUUUAUAAGGAAGAAAUAAUAAGUACUGUGAAUUGUUGUGUUGUUUAAACUAAUGAGGAGGGAUCCCUGGGUGGCGCAGCGGUUUGGCGCCUGCCUUUGGCCCAGGGCACGAUCCUGGAGACCCGGGAUCGAAUCCCACGUCAGGCUCCCGGUGCAUGGAGCCUGCUUCUCCCUCUGUGUCUCUGCCUCUCUCUGUGUGUGUGUGUGACUAUCAUGAAUAAAAAACAAAACAAAAAAAAUUUAAACUAAUGAGGAGCCCUGGAACAGACAGGGCUGCCAGAUGUCUCUCAGGAAAAUACCAAACUUCCAGAUGGGGAGUAGAAGAAGAUGUAGGAACAUAUGAAUAAAAAUAGCAUUCCUCUCCCGCCUGUGUUCUGGGGCUCCCCCCAAAAUAUGUCUCCAAGUCCACAAGAACAGACUUUCAUCUCUUCACAUGAAAAAAAAUAUCCUUCUAUAGAGAAGCCCCCACCCCCACUAUAGGCUAUCCUUUUACGUUACUACACAAAUGUCCUGACAGGCUACUCUGGGGCACUUACACUGCAGUAUUUUCCAAUGGCCAGAACUUUUUCCAAGCCCCGGGUACUGGAGGGCACCACCAGCAGGUGGGAGAUUCCAUCUGGUGGAGGAGCCUCAUGAUGACUACAAACUGGUGGAGGCCAGGGGUGAAUGCAAAGAAGGACAGUAGCAUGGAGAGCUCUGAACUGCAGAGCGAAACCCCGAGAAACUCUGGGUCAAGGAAUUGGCAGGGGUUGAAGGUGGGAGUGAGGAGUGAGAUGGGCAACAGACAUUAAUUUGAAGUCUGUGUAAACACAUAGAACAGAGACCGCCUGACAAGGGCUGCCAGGCAGCUUGUAGCCCCUCCAUUUAGUCAUUUGAUGAGCACAGAGACCAACUCUCAACCGCUCAAACAAGUCCUUCAUGUUGACUCUACCACUGUUACCACAUGUGAACACAGCUCCUGGGCAGCUUUUCUACUACUAGAAUAUCAAGAAAAUAUACUAACACUUGCAACAGGAGAAAAUCCACUAAAUACGAGAUAAUUGGGUGCCUGGGUAGCUCAGUCAGUUAAACAUCUGCCUUCGGCUCAGGUCAUGAUCUCUGGGUCCUGGGAUAGAGCCCCUCCUGGGACUCCCUGCUCAGCGAGGGGUCUACUUCUCCCUCUGCCCCUCCCCUUGGUUGUGAGCCCUCUCUCUCUCUCUCAAGUAAAUAAAUGAAAUCUUAAAAAAAAAAAAAAAAACGAGAUAAUUUAGGAAAGAAUAAAAAAAGGAAAGCAAAACUGAAAUUACAUUUUCAGAGAGAUUCAAGACUGUAUCUUGAAGGGUAGGUAUGUUUUUAAAACUCUUGAAAUAUCUCUGAGGGAUUCACAACAAAUUAUUCACAAAGUCAUCUCUAGGGCCGGGAACUGAAUGAGAGAGAGAGCUUAGUUGUCACUAUCCAUUUUUUUUUUUUUUGAACUAUUGAGUUUUGCCCCAGGAGCGUGUAUUACUAGUUAACUUACUAAAUUUAUAAAAUAUAUCCAUAAAUUAAGAACAAAGUACUAUAGAAAAGGAACAGACAUGGGGCUCCUGGGCGGCUCAGUGGUUGAGCGUCUACCUUCGGCUCAGGUCGUGAUCCUGGGGUCCUGGGAUGGAGUGCUGUUUCAGGCUCCCCACCAGAGCCUGCUUCUUUCUGCCUAUGUCUCUGCCUCUCUCUGUGUGUC
rnacentral:lncRNA from 1 species